rnacentral:rRNA from 1 species
UACGUAGGGGGCGAGCGUUGUCCGGAUUUAUUGGGCGUAAAGAGCUCGUAGGCGGUUUGGUAAGUUGGAUGUGAAAUCUCCAGGCUCAACUUGGAGGGGUCAUUCGAUACUGCCAUGACUAGAGUUCGGUAGGGGAGUGUGGAAUUCCUGGUGGAGCGGUGAAAUGCGCAGAUAUCAGGAGGAACACCCGUAGCGAAGGCGGCUCGCUGGGACGUUACUGACACUGAGGCGCGAAAGCGUGGGGAGCGAACAGG